rnacentral:pre_miRNA from 1 species
AACAUAUUCCUCAGUUCCAAAAUUAUUGUCUUGGAUUUAUCUACGUAUGAAUGUAUUUAGUCACGUUGUAGUAUCUAGAUGCAUUCAUAUAUAUAAAAAAAAUCUAAAACAAGAAUUUUGGGACAGAGGGAGUACUUC